rnacentral:rRNA from 1 species
AGUCAAUAGAUACCCCGGUAGUCCACGCCGUAAACUAUGGAUGCUAGCUGUUAUCAGUAUCGACCCUGGUAGUAGCGAAAGCUAACGCGUUAAGCAUCCCGCCUGUGGAGUACGAGCGCAAGCUUAAAACAUAAAGGAAUUGACGGGGACCCGCACAAGCGGUGGAGCGUGUUGUUUAAUUCGACGGUAAGCGAAGAACCUUACCAGGGUUUGACAUCCCGCCAAGGUCUCCGAAAGGAGACUGUGCCUUCGGGCCGCGGUGACAGGUGCUGCAUGGCCGUCGUCAGCUCGUGUCGUGAGAUGUUUGGUUAAGUCCAUCAACGAGCGCAACCCUUAUAGUCUGUUGGAUUUUUUAGGCUAGACUGCCCCGGUAACGGGGAGGAAGGAGGGGAUGAUGUCAGGUCAUUAUUGCCCUUACACCCUGGGCUACAAACACGCUACAAUGGCUGGUACAAAGGGCCGCAAACCCGCGAGGGGGAGCAAAUCCCAUCAAAGCCAGUCUCAGUUCGGAUUGUAGGCUGAAACCCGCCUGCAUGAAGCUGGAAUCGC